rnacentral:rRNA from 1 species
CACGUAGGGUGCGAGCGUUGUCCGGAAUUAUUGGGCGUAAAGAGCUCGUAGGCGGUGUGUCGCGUCGGCCGUGAAAACCUGCAGCUUAACUGUGGGCUUGCGGUCGAUACGGGCAUCACUGGAGUUCGGCAGGGGAGACUGGAAUUCCUGGUGUAGCGGUGAAAUGCGCAGAUAUCAGGAGGAACAGCCGAUGGCGAAGGCAGGUCUCUGGGCGAUACUGACGCUGAGGAGCGAAGCGUGGGGAGCGAACAGG